CUAAAUAUUUCAAUGUAAAACUAAAACCAAACUGACUUCAAAUCCCUAAAUUUUUCACCAACAAUUUUUAGGUCUUUCUUUGAAGAAGAAAAAGGCAUUAAAACAGAGCAGAAUCUGGCACAGAAAACAGAGCCAACACCUGGGCAAGGCAUGGCAGAACAUUGUGUCUGCCAUUUUAUGGAGGUAGCUUAUGAAUUUCUGUCUGCAACCAUUUCCAAAACCCCAGGAAAUGUUCAUGGGCUACACAGGGGCGGAGUUGGCAGCAGGUGAAAAGUCGCCUCUGUCCAAAUCACCAGCAUAAAUCUCCCAGACUUCUUAUGCCAGGAUUUCACCUCAGAAGCUUGGGAUCAAGCUCCAACCUGAACCCCAAGAAAGGAUUUUCAGAUAAAAGAACAGUUGAGGUUUUCUAAGAGGGAUGAACCAAUUGCUUAGCGCACCAAAGUAAAGACGUGACUACGUUGCCAUGGGAUUG